rnacentral:rRNA from 1 species
AUUGAACGCUGGCGGCAUGCCUUACACAUGCAAGUCGAACGGCAGCACGGGGCAACCUGGUGGCGAGUGGCGAACGGGUGAGUAAUGCAUCGGAACGUGCCAUUGAGUGGGGGAUAACGUAGCGAAAGUUGCGCUAAUACCGCAUAUUCUGUGAGCAGGAAAGCAGGGGACCGCAAGGCCUUGCGCUCUUUGAGCGGCCGAUGUCAGAUUAGCUAGUUGGUGAGGUAACGGCUUACCAAGGCGACGAUCUGUAGCGGGUCUGAGAGGAUGAUCCGCCACACUGGAACUGAGACACGGUCCAGACUCCUAGG